UAUAUAUUUGUGAUGGUUUGUAUAUUCUUAGCCUAGAGAGUAGCACUAUUAGGUGUGGCCUUGUUGAAAUGGGUGUGUCACGGUGGGUGUGGGUUUAAGACCCUCACCCUAGUGUCCUGGAAGUCAGUCUUCCACUAGGAGCCUUCAGAUGAAGAGGUAGAACUCUCAGCUCUGCCUGCAUCAUGCCUACCUAGAUGUUGCCCUGUUCCCACCUUGAUGAUAAUGGACUGAACCUGUAAGCCAGCCCCAAUUCAAUGUUGUCCUUUAUAAGACUUGCCUUGCUCAUGGAGUCUGCUCACAGCAGUAAAACCCUAACUAAGAAAAUAUUCCAGUCAAGUUUUAUUUGAUUCACUUAUCACACACAGUAAUGUGGAUAAAAGUAUCAACCAAUUUGGAAAUCAGCGUCUAUUAUUUUAUUGUUAAAUUUGUGUUGGUAGAUGCAGAAAGUGAUAAGUGAUGAAAUAUCCUAUUCCUACCUGCUGAUUGAUGGUCAUGAGAGAAAACAAAACUCAUGCUCAGCAUAACUUAGCUUUUAAAAACAAAUCUUAUUAAUUUUAAGGUUUUUAAAAUUGGUUAUUUUAUUUAUUUACAUUUCAAAUGUUAUCCUCGUUCCUGGUUUCCCCUCUGCAAACCCUCUAUCCCAUCCCCCUUCCCUCAGCUUCUAUGAGGGUGCUCCCUACCCACGCACUCACUCCUGCCUCACCACCCUGCCUCAUUCCCCAUAUUCUGGGGCAUUGAGAUUUCAUACAAUAUAUUGUGAUCAUAUUCAUCCCCACACCUCUCUUUGUUUCCUGUGACAUCCACCCCACCUGCCUACCUCAGCUUACAUUCUAACUGGUUUAAGUCAAACGCUCCACAAUAAAGGCACAAUGCAAGAAAAGACAAGAAUGUUUCCAGGUAUAAAAUACUACAGUCUCUACUGUGUUAUAACAUGAAACAAAGCUUUACACAUUUACACACGUUUUAAAGUGUGAUUUUCUUUUUUUAAAUUGAGUCAAAAUAAUCAGUCAGAUCAGCUACAGAUCUAUAAUGACUCUAGUGGGAAAAAUGGACUUGAACAGACUGCAGAUUUGAGCCCAUAAAUGGGCAACUUAAAUAUAGAAAUAUAAAUGCUAGAAACUAAAAAAGCACAGUAUUAUACAGAAUGGCUAGUGCUUUUGAUGG
rnacentral:lncRNA from 1 species